CGCCUUGUACUGAAGAUGAGUUUGCAUGUGACAAUGGUCAGUGUAUACCAGUUGGCAAGAGAUGUGAUUUCAUCAGCCAUUGUUACGAUGCAUCAGAUGAAGAUGGAUGUGUGUUGGAGCUUUUUCAUUCUGCCUUCCAGUGCUACGACGGUUCGCUUUUUCCAAGGCAGGUUCAUUGUGAUGGUGUGAUCGACUGCAUAGGAAAUACGAACGA